rnacentral:tRNA from 1 species
GUCUGGGUGGUGUAGUUGGUUAUCACACUAGUCUCACACACUAGAGUUCUCCAUUCGAACCCAGGCU